rnacentral:rRNA from 1 species
ACACGUAUGAAAGACAAGCUGCAAGACUUUUCUCAAUGAUGUAAGUGGUGGUGCAUGGUCGUUCUUAGUUCGUGGAGUGAUUUGUCUGGUCUAUUCCGAUAACGAGCGAGACCCCGGCGUUCCUACUAGGGGCAGCAGCCCGGCUCGGUCGCAAGGCCCUGUUAGCCGCUGCCUCGAACAAGCUUCUUAGACGUAUCAGAGCCGAUAAGGUUCUUGAAAUGGGUUAAUAACAGGUCAGUCAUGCCCUUAGAUGUUCUGGGCCGCACGCGCGUUACAAUGGCACGUAAAAAGAGUGCUCACAAGGGCGUAUCUGCGGCUCUACGGGUCGCGGUAACCCUUAGUCCCUGCCUUGACUGGGACAGACUAUUGUAAUUAUUGGUCUCAAACGAGGAAUUUUUAGUAGUCGCAGGUCAUUAGCCUGCGACGA